GUAUCCAUAUGCUCAGCUGGUUAAGAGCCGGGUGCUGAUAAUGCCAAGGUUGCAGGUUCAAUCCCUGUUUGGGACA